rnacentral:rRNA from 1 species
UGUGUAGGUGGCUGAGCAAGUCUUAGAUGAAAUCCCGAGGCCUACCCUCGGAACUGUCUUCGAUACUGCUCAGCUUGAGGAUGGUUGAGGAGAACGGAAUUCCCGGUGGAGCGGUGAAAUGCGUAGAUAUCGGGAGGAACACCAGAGGCGAAGGCGGUUCUCUGGGCCAUUCCUGACACUGAGACACGAAAGCUAGGGGAGCAAACG